AUCUGCUUACAGGAGGGAACUUUUCUGAUGACUGAGCAAGUUAACUGCUCUAUGAGUAUAGCAGAAUGUCAUUCGAAAUCACUUUAUUUCUAUGGUUCUUUUUAAGAAUUGUCUUACUAACUUUUCUCUUAGAUCCCUGGGCUAUCUAAUUUCAGGCUCUUCGUCACCUAAGACUUUGGUUGUGGAUUCCAUCUCAUGGAGUUGACCUUGAGUCAAAUCAGAUGUUGGUUGGUUACUUCUACAAGCUUUGUGGCACCUUUGCACUAGUAUGCCCUACAUGCAGGACCCUAUUGUGUAUUGCACGUCCACAAGUAGUGUCUGAGUGUUCCUCUCACUCCAUAUCCUUGCCAACAUGAGCUGUCAUUUAUUUUAUUAAUCUUGGUGAUUCUGAAUUACACUUGGUUAGGUAAAAGAUGAAAUCUCAAAGUUGUUUUGAUUUGCAUUUCCUGAUCGCUAAGGAUGUUGAACAUUUGAGUCUUUCCUAAUCAUUUGAGUUUCUUCUUUUGAAAAUUCUGUUGAGAGCUAUACCCCAUUUUAAAAACUGGAUUAUUUGGCUUCUUGAUAUCUAAUUUUGAGUUCUUUAUAUAUUUGGGAUAUGAACCCUCUAUAAGAUGUAUAGUUGAUAAAAAUACCUUCACAUUCUAUGGCCUGCCACUUUGUCGAAAUGAUGAUGUCCUUUGCCCUGGGAAGUUUUUCAGUUUCACAAGGUUCCCGAUCUUAUGGUUGAUCUUACUACCUGUGCUUACAGUGUACUGUUCAGAAGGUCUUUUCCUGUGCCAAUGGAUUCAAGGCUAUUCUCCAAGUCCUCUUCUAUCAGAAUAAGUGUGCCUGAUCUUAUGUUGAUAUCUUUGAUUCAUUUGCAGUGGAGUUUUGUGCAGGCAGGGUGACAAGUAUGGAAGUACUUGCAUUCUUUUACACACAACCAGUUUGACCAGCAGCAUUUGUUGAAGUUUUUUUUUUUUCCAGUGUAUAUAUAAUGAGGUAUUCAUAGGUGUGUGGACUUAUGUGGAUCUCCAGUUUGAUUGCAUUAAUCAAUGUGUCUAUUUUUUUGUGCCAAUUCCAUGCUGUUUUUAUUACUAUAGCUCUGUAGUAAAAUUUGGGUAUGUUCUUUUUAUCAUUCACAAUUGAUUUAAUUAUCCUGUUUUUUUCUACGUUUCCAUAUGAAGCUGAAAAUUGUCAAGAUCUGUAAAGAAUUGUGUUGAAAUUUUGAUUAGGAUUGCAUUGAAUCUGUACUUUUUAAAUUAUAGGAUGGCCAUUUUUGCUAUAUUAAUCCUACUGAUUCAUGAGCAUAAAAAAUCUUUCCUUUUCCAGAUAGCUUCUUAGACUUCUUUCUUCAAUGUCUUAAAGUUUUUAAUCAUACAUAUUUCUCAAUUGCUUGGCUAGAGUUAAUCCAAGAUUCUGUAUUUUUUGUGUGUGUGUGUGUGUGUGGCUAUUGUGAAGGGUAUUGUUUUUCUGAUUUCUUUCUCAGUCUAUUUGUCAUUUAUAUAUAGGAGGGUUACUGAUUUUUGUGAGUUAGUUUUGUAUCCAUUUACUUUGCUGAAAGUGUUUAUCAGCUAUAGAAGUUUCCCAGUGGACUUCUUAUGGUUACUUAUAUAUACUAUCAUAUCAUGUACAAAUAAAGAUACUAUGCUGUCUUCCUUUCUAAUUUAUAUCGCCAUGAUCUCCGUUAGUUGUCUUACUAAGUUAAGGCUUCAAGUACUAUACUCAGUAGGUAUGGGAAGUAUGAACCACCUUGACUGAGGUUUUGUUCAAGUUCCUAAAAUUUUCAUUUCCAUAUUUCUCUUAGUUUGGGUCUUCUUUAUUGAUUCUAUUUCCAUUUUCAGGUCUUGAACUUUUAUUAUAAAAUAUUAUAAAUAUCAACAACAUAUAUAUAUAUAUGUAUAUAUGUGUAUAUGUAUAUAUAUAAUAUAUUUUCCUAUUUAAAGACU
rnacentral:lncRNA from 1 species